AGCAGCCGCGGUAAUUCCAGCUCCAAUAGCGUAUAUUAAAGUUGUUGCAGUUAAAAAGCUCGUAGUUGAAUUUCGGGGUUAGUACGCUGGUCAUGCCUUCGGUAUGUACUGGUGUUACCGAUUCCUACCUUCUGAAGAACCGUCAUGUCAUUAGUUUGGUGUGGCGGGGAAUCAGGACUGUUACUUUGAAAAAUUAGAGUGUUUAAAGCAGGCUCGCGCUUGAAUACAUUAGCAUGGAAUAAUGAAAUAGGACGUUCGAUCCUAUUUUGUUGGUUUCUAGGAUUGACGUAAUGAUUAAUAGGGAUAGUUGGGGGCAUUAGUAUUCAAUUGUCAGAGGUGAAAUUCUUGGAUUUAUUGAAGACUAACUACUGCGAAAGCAUUUGCCAAGGAUGUUUUCAUUAAUACAAGAACGAAAGUUAGGGGAUCGAAGACGAUCAGAUACCGUCGUAG
rnacentral:rRNA from 1 species